CCCUUAGAUGUUCUGGGCCGCACGCGCGCUACACUGAUGCAUUCAACGAGUUUCUUCCUGGUCCGAGAGGAAUGGGUAACCUUUUGAAAGUGCAUCGUGAUAGGGAUAGACUAUUGCAAUUAUUGGUCUUCAACGAGGAAUUCCUAGUAGACGUAGUUCAUCAGACUGCAUCGAUUACGUCCCUGCCCUUUGUACACACCGCCCGUCGCUCCUACCGAUUGAAUGCUCAGGUGAGCCAUUCGGACUUUCAUCAUGCUGAUUUCCAGUUUUGAUGAAGGAAAGUCUUGCGAACCUUAUCAUUUAGAGGAAGGAGAAGUCGUAACA
rnacentral:rRNA from 1 species